UCCUCAGUUAAAAUUCUGUUGCUCUGAUGUGAUUCUAACUCAACCAUCUGAUUGAGAAGGCUGUUCUUUUGCAAUUUCAGAUUACCUUCUUCAUAUCUGCUCCAUUCUUUCAAUUUCCCUUUGAGGGCUUUGAGUUUGCAUGCUAAGAUGUAAUCUGGCCUCCCAUAGAACUCAAAAUCAUUCCACCAGACCUUGAUUCUUUCAACAAAUCCUUCUUGGUUCAGCCACCAAUUUUCGAACUUAAAAUAGGAUUUAGAUUGUUCCCAAUGUCCACACAACAAGGCUAUAGGAACAUGAUCAGAAGUCACUCUUUGCAUAGUGGUUUGCUUUAUGUUGGUGAAAAGAUUAUUCCAUUCUGUGGAGACCAUAAUCCUGUCUAUCCUGGAUGCUGUGAUAUGGUUAUCACCCUUGUACCAGGUAUACCUUCCACCACUUAAUUGCAGAUCAAUGAGGUCCAUGUCUUCAAUGCAUUCUGAAAACUCUCUCAUUGCUGGGUUUAACCUGUUGCACUCCCUUUUUUUAGAAGGAAAUCUACAGACAUUAAAGUCACCACAAACAGCCCAUGGACCAUCCAUCAAGCCUCUUACAUCAACCAGUUCUUCCCAUACAAACCUCCUCUCCACUCUACUAUUCGGAGCAUACACUCCGGUUAUAUGACAUUCAAAAUUGCUUGUCUGAGCUUUGAAUUUACAAGAGAGAGUAUAGGCUCCAACUUUAAUUUCCCCUUCCCACAUUCUGGAAUCCCAUAACAUCAGGAUUCCUCCUCUGGUUCCACUGGCCUCUAAACAAGCAUAUUUAAUCCAUCUCCCUGCCCAAAUUUGUUUAACUAAGUCCUGUACAUCGCCUUCUAAUUUAGUUUCCUGGAGGCAGACAAUGUCUGCUUUCCAAUCCUGCAACAGG
rnacentral:lncRNA from 1 species